CCUACGGGAGGCUGCAGUAGGGAAUUUUGCGCAAUGGGCGAAAGCCUGACGCAGCAACACCGCGUGAAUGUUAAGCCCUUCGGGGUGUAAAGUUCUGUCAAUAGGGACGAAUUUUGACUGUACCUAUAAAGGAAGCACCGGCUAACUCCGUGCCAGCAGCCGAGGUAAUACGGGGGGUGCAAGCGUUGUCCGGAAUCAUUGGGCGUAAAGCGUUCGUAGGCGGCAAGUUAAGUCUGAUGUUAAAGCCCGGGGCUCAACUCCGGUUCGGCAUUUGAUACUAUCUAGCUAGAAUGUGGUAGAGGUAAAGGGAAUUCCUGGUGUAGCGGUGAAAUGCGUAGAUAUCAGGAGGAACAUCGGUGGCGUAAGCGCUUUACUGGGCCGUAAUUGACACUGAGGAACGAAAGCCGGGGUAGCAAAUGGGAUUAGAUACCCGGGUAGUC
rnacentral:rRNA from 1 species